AAUCAACGCUGGCGGCGUGCCUCAGACAUGCAAGUCGAACGAUUAAGACUCUCUUCGGAGAGUGUAUAAAGUGGCGCACGGGUGAGUAACACGUAGGUAAUGUACCGAAGGGUGGGGAAUAACUUAGGGAAACUUAAGCUAAUACCGCAUAAUGCAGCGGCUCGACAUCGAGACAGUUGUUAAAGGAGCAAUCCGCCUUUUGAGCAGCCUGCGGCAGAUUAGCUAGUUGGUAAGGUAAUGGCUUACCAAGGCUACGAUCUGUAACCGACCUGAGAGGGUGGUCGGUCACACUGACACUGAAUAACGGGUCAGACUCCUACGGAGGCAGCAGUCGGGAAUUUUGGGGCAAUGGGCGAAAGCCUGACCCAGCAACGCCGCGUGAAGGAUGAAGUAUUUCGGUAUGUAAACUUCGUAAGAAUAGGAAGAAUAAAUGACGGUACUAUUUGUAAGGUUCCGGCUAACUACGUGCCAGCAGCCGCGGUAAU
rnacentral:rRNA from 1 species